AGUGCGGCGGGGCGCGCGAGCAGCGCGGCUGCGGGGUGGGCUGAGCAGAGAGAAGCUGAGGGGGCGGUAGCGGCAGCGGCGAUUCGCGUGCCUGUGCUCAGCUCCUCACGCCGCGGCCGGGGCCGCCUUCUCCCUCCUUCCUUCCCGCCCCCGAGUGCGGCGGUACCGCCUCCUUCAGCGCCGCGCGGCUUCCUCCAGACCUCCGUGCGCGGGGCCAUCCCUUAGCCUUCUACACACUGAACUGAAACUCAAGCCCUCUCCUUGGAACUCUUCAAAGACUGGAGGAAAUUCCUUAAAACCAGUGGUGAGCUCUGUUCUCAGAGGCAUUUGGUGCUGAUCCUGUAACCCAAAAGAGGAAAUUGCUGCCUGAGAUCAGCCUUGGUACUGGUAAGGUAACUAGUUUGGGACUUAUUUUUACCCCGAGAACAGGUAACUUACAGGUAAUUACUCCAUGUCAUAGGCAGCCUCCUGUGCUGGGAGAAUUGGACUUGCUUUCCUGGAGCUGUCAUGAGAGACAGUCUGGGAUUAUUUGCCACAAAUAAAGCAAAACAGGCUCAAUUCCUUCUGGCUUCUGCCAGCUGCUUUCUGCUGGGGGAUAUCCUGGACCUGGCAGCUAAGCCCCAUUCUCCUAUAAGCUCUCUUAACAUGACUUCAUAGCCCUUAUAGACUUUGCUGAUUUCAUUCUUGAUGGUAAUUUACCAAGCCCAGAGUCAGCUUCAGAAAAUCCUAUAGUUUUAUCAGUCCUGCAGAAUAUGGUCAUGAGAUGAGAAUGGAAUAGUAAGAGUAGAGCUUUAUGAAGGGGGAAGUCCAGAGAAGCUUAGAAAGAAGACUUGCAGAUGGUAAAGCAGGAGGGGAAAUCAACAUGUUAAGAACCAAUAGUUGUGGUGUGGAUCAUUUAAUCUAGACAGAAGCCCAUUUUAUAGAUGAGGAAAUUUAGAAAAAAUUUAAAAAUAUUUAUUAUGUUUUAUUUCAGGUUUACAGCAAAGUGAUUCAGAUAUAUUCUUUUUUAGAUUCUUUUCCAUUAUAAAUUAUUACAAGAUAUUGAGUAUAGUUCUCUAUGUUACGUUAUAGGUCCUUGUUGGUUAUCUAUUUUAUAGGUAAUAGUGUGUGUAUUUUAAUCACAAACCUCUAAGUUAUCCCCUCCCACCCCUUUUCCCCUUUGGUAACCAUAAGUAUGUUUUCUAUGGCUGUGAGUAUAGACUCUAUUAGAUGAGGGAAUUGAAGCUCAGGAAAUGAAAGCAGUUUGCCCAAGGUUUACACUUGGGAAUCCAUAAAGCUGAUAUUAGAACCUGGGUCAGUCUAACUGUGAAUACCAUUGUUCUGACUUGGCAGACUUUCCUUGGACUGCUAAUCUCCCUGGAAUCAUGACUUUUCAUAUAAAGUUCAAGAAGACAGACAUCCUUAGGGAUUCAGGAAGGAGGUCUAGUUAUUAGAGGGACCCAGCAAGACAGGCAGGAGUUGGGGGGGGGGUCCCUUCUGAUCAAUGGCAAUUAUAGUGAGGGGGUCACCGAAAAGAGGUUGAAAGAUAAGAAAAACUUUCAAGCAGGCAGAGGCCCAGGCUAAAUAUGAUUAGAAGGAGAAGACAACAUAUGUAACACAUGGAAUCCCAUAACACUUGGACCAGCACAGAUAGCGACCUGGAGAGCUGAGUUGCAGUUGGGAAGCCUAGGUUUUUAUCUUCUUUCUCAACAUUUGCAUUUGAGUAAUUGCCAUUUCCCUAUUUGUAAAAUUGGAGUGCCUCCCUGUACCCCCACAUGUCUGUUUUGUUUACACCAACCAUGCAGGGUGUUAUAGAGAAUCAAAUGAGAAAUGCAAGUUAGAAAAGUUUGUGAAUUAUAAAACAGCAUGACUGAAAUGAGAGAAAGUGAGAAAACAGCAUUGUAAGUAUCCCUGGCAUCUCAAUCCCUGACCUCUUUGCCACCUUACUCCCCAGGGCUAAAAGGGAAAGUUUUGUUUUGUAAAUUUACACUGUAAACUUUCUCCUAUGCCCUUUCUUCUGUAGGCCCUACCUAAAGUUCAAUCUUUCCACAAGCUCAGUCUUCCCAGGGCACAGAGACAAAGCCAGGCAGCCUUGGCAGCCAUGAUUUGCAGCAUGUGGGCUGCAGAGUGCAGGUUUAAAUGCACUCACACAGCCUGGCUCCAGGGCCACUGCUGGUACAGACAUUAAAGCUGUAUGUCUUCAUAUCCACAGAGCCCAUCCACAGCAUGUGUCUGUACUCACUAAGUUUCACUAAGAUGUUGCCUGUUAACCUACUGUCAUCUCAGAUGAGAAUGGUUAUUCUUACUUUGGCUCUAGGUUGCCUGCCUACCCCAACCCCCACCCUUCAACUGCUAGUGAAAAACGUACUUAUGAUGUAGCCUCAUAUCUUAUUAGAGGUCAUGGUCAUUCCAGUUUUUCUACCAUCUCUCACCCUUGUCCAGUGAUAUAGGUUACUCUCUUCAUACUCUGUAACAAAGGGCAUUCUGUUCUCACUCGCCUGUGUGGUUGCACCGAGAGGUGUAUCACCCCCUACCUGAUGCUCCAGGAAUCCACACUGGCCAACCUUCCCUCCUAUUCUCAAUCGCUAGGCUCUUGCUGUCGUGUCUUUUUGCCUUGGUUAAUCUAAGGUUCCUAUAGCCUCUGGUCUUUCCAUGGCCUGGGCAUCAAGCUUGGAUUUUACUGUUCUUAUAAAAACUGUGAAGAAGUUCCACUAUUGACUCUUUUAAAAUAUGAAUGAUUCCAGAAGUUCUCAUCAUGGCUCAGCGGUUAGCAAACUCGACUAGCAUCCAUGAGGAUGUGGGUUUGAUCUCUGGCCUUGCUCGGUGGGUUAAGGAUCUGGUGUUGCCUUAAGCUGUGGUGUAGGUCACAGAUGUGGCCUGGAUUCCACAUUGCUGUGGCUGUGGCUGUGGCAUAGGCCAGUGGCUACGGCUCCUAUUGGACCCCUAGCCUGGGAACUUCCAUAUGCCGUGGGUCCAGCCCUAAAAGAUAAAUAAAUAAAUAAAAUAAAAUAAAAUAUGAACGAUUCCAUGUAAAAAAGUUUACAACAUUGUGGUAUCUACACAGUAGAUAGAUGUAGUAGUUAGAUCUACAAAGAUGUUAUUUAUCUAACAUCCUCAAUUUUCUGGAGUCCAACUAAAAAGGAGGAAACAAAACAUUGUCAUCCGUAAGACCUUGCACAGGCGUUGGUCAGCAAGCCUGGCACUUUAGUUUCUCAAUCCUCAUAAGACUAAGAACAGCAUAUAAAAAGGAAAGGAUGAGUUGAUGUAUUAGCAGCAGCUAGAGGUGAGAACUAGGAGUAAGGGAGAGAUAAAAGAAUGAUGAGAAAGGAAAGUUAAAACAAGUAUGAAGGCUAUACUUUUGAGCAACAGCCUUAUAUACAUCUACGUACUUCAGUAAGAUGGGGCAAGGUAAUUUUUAAGGUAGUUCUAGGUUCUUAAAGGUGAAAGGUAUCAGAGAAUGUUUAUUGUGUCUACUGUAUUAUCAGGCGCUGUAUUGAAUGCUCUAUAUGAUUUAGUUUCAUUUCCAUAGAAGUAGGUAUUGAUAUUCUCAUUUCAUAAAUUACUGAGUUCCUGUUGUGGCUCAGUGGUAGCGAACCCAGCUGCUAUCCAUGAAGAUGCGGGUUUGAUCCCUGGCUUUUCUCAGUGGCUCGGGGAUCCGGUGUUGCCAUGAGCUAUGGUGUAGGUUGCAGACUUGGCUUGGAUCCCAGGUUGCUAUGGCUGUAGCGUAGGCUGGCAGCUACAGCUCUGAUUCAGUCCCUAGCCUGGGAGUUUCUAUGUGCUGCAAGUGCAGCCCUAAAAAGCAGAAAACCCCAAAUAAAUAAAUAAAUUUACUAAGACUUAGGGAGGGACACACAGGCAGUGAUUGGAAGAGCUAAGCUUAGAACUUGGAAGAAUCUGGCUCUAAAGAACCAUGUUUUUUCUGUUAUUUGGUAUUGGCUCUUUCCCUGUGACCUAAAACCUGGUCCUUCUUAGCCUCUUAAGCCAGUGGUUCUUCACCCAUCCCCUUUUGUUCCUUUUCCUGUAUAGGAAUGUCUUGCUUUUUAAAGACAUUCAUUCAGGAGUUCCCUGAUGGCCUAGCAGGAGUUCCCUGGCAGCUUAAGGAUCCAGUGUGGUCACUGCUGUGGCUUGGGUCAUUGCUAUGAUAUAGGUUCAGUCCCCGGCCUGGGAAUUUCUACAUGCCAUGAGCAAGGCCAAAAUAAAGACGUUUAUUUAGUGUAUAUCUAUUGUCUACUUUGUGCCAGGCACAGUUUUAAGUGUUUGGAAUGUAGCAGUGAAGAAAAUAGUUUUCUAACUUCUAGUGGAGAAAAAACAAAUGAGUAUAUAUGAAGAAAAAUAAAGCAGGCUAAGGGAGUAGGGACUGUGUGAUGAAGAAGGCCUCUGUGAGAAAAUAAAAUCUGUAGAAAUAUGCAGGAACUGAAGUAGUGAAUUAUGUGUAUAUCAUGGGGAAUAACAUUCUAGGCAUAGAGUUUAGCAAGCUUGGCGGCCCUAAAAUGGGGGCAUGUUUAAUACACUUGAGGAACCAAAGGAGGUCAGUGUAGCUAGAGAUGAAGUAAUAGGGAAAAUGGAAUAUGGAGAAGAAGUCACAAGUGUGGAUAGGAAUUCAGAUCAUGUAGGGCUUUAUUCUGAGUGACAUAGGAAGCCACUGGAGAGUUUUGGAUGGAGGAAUGACAUAUUAUGACAU
rnacentral:lncRNA from 1 species